rnacentral:rRNA from 1 species
UACAGAGGGUGCGAGCGUUAAUCGGAAUUACUGGGCGUAAAGCGUGCGUAGACGGUUAUCUAAGUCGGAUGUGAAAGCCCCGGGCUCAACCUGGGAAUUGCAUUCGAGACUGAAUAGCUAGGGUACGGUAGAGGGAAGUGGAAUUUCCGGUGUAGCGGUGAAAUGCGUAGAUAUCGGAAGGAACAUCAGUGGCGAAAGCGACUUCCUGGACCAGUACCGACGUUCAGGCACGAAAGCUAGGGGAGCAAACAGG